rnacentral:lncRNA from 1 species
CUCGAAACUUCAUUUUUUUUCUACAAGAUAGGAGAUGCAGAUUUGAGUUUCACCAGCAAAUAUUACCUCAUAGAUACAAAUGAAACAAAAAAAUGCAAAUAAAUGUCUUGGCAUCACGCAACAUUAUGUGGAACAUACUUGACAUAAACAAAAGAAUAAUCAUAUGACAUAGAGAACAGGAACAGUUGCCACUCUAUAAACGCAUUAGCCUCUGCAUACGCAGAAGGAAAAAAAGGAAAAAAGAUAAAAAAAAGAAACACAAUAGCGACUAAUUUAUUUACAUGAGCGGUAACAGUCCAAGCGCCCGCAGGAUUCGCCUCCUAUGUAAGCAAUCCUCAUCGGAGUGGAGAUUAGUGAUGGGCAUUUCUCAAGUUUCAUGUCAUCCUAACAUUUUUCCAGCAAAUAUCAAAAAUUCCAGCAUAUAAAUCAUUUUUAACAGUCACAGAUUAACAGAGGAAAACACAUGCCAUUGUUACCUUCUGCAUGACACGCUUCUCCACUUCUGCCAGCUACGGGCGUAAACAUUGUGGUAUAUACUUUUGGAAAAACAGAGGUUGAUGUGCCAUUAGUUAAAGCUUCAAUGUUCCUCCAUAAUUCUCACUCACAGAAGCCUGAUAUUAGAAGUAACGUCAAAUGAAGUUAAAUUUAUCAAAUGUGCUAAAUGGAACAUCCAUUUGCCAAAAAU